rnacentral:rRNA from 1 species
UACAGAGGUGGCAAGCGUUGUUCGGAAUUACUGGGCGUAAAGGGCUCGUAGGUGGCCAACUAAGUCAGACGUGAAAUCCCUCAGCUUAACUGGGGAACUGCGUCUGAUACUGGAUGGCUUGAGUUCGGGAGAGGGAUGCGGAAUUCCAGGUGUAGCGGUGGAAUGCGUAGAUAUCUGGAGGAACACCGGUGGCGAAGGCGGCAUCCUGGACCGACACUGACACUGAGGAGCGAAAGCCAGGGGAGCAAACGGG